AGUCCGUCAGAGGCGAAUACCCGCCCCACCGCUGCCCCGGCGCCAUUUUGUUCUGGAGGGGACUUUUUUUUCUCAGGCGGGAGGGGUGGGAGGUUGCCCUCUGACCCCUGUUCGGGUUGACCAAAGGGCCAUGGACGAAUGAGCGCCCAAGAGCAGCUGUAAAGCCAUUUUAUUUCUCCUUUCUUCACGUAACCUUUGCCUCUGAGCCCCCGAGAGAUAUUUACGCUGAUACGGAGGGGAAGGUAGCCCACUGCGUCCACCCCCAAGCCCCUUACCGCAGAGUGACGCCAAGCCCAGGCAAAGAUGGCUGCCCCUCCCUGACGGUUCGCAGCUCUCCAUUGGCCGCCCGGUGACCUCUAUAACUCCGCCGCCGCUACCCCCACUACAGGCGCGCUUCCCUCAUCCCUUGCUCUCCCCGUUGCCCGAGACAAAAGCGGGUGGAAGGAAGGCCGGCGGCGUAGUGGGCGUCCGGCAUGGCGGCGGUCGGUUUCGACGACUUCCCGGGCCCCUGCUCGGACCUGGCGCUGCCCCCGCUCUUCGGCGGCCACAUCCUGGAGAGCGAGCUGGACCAGGAGGUGGGGUUCGCCGACCCGGCGCUCCACGAGGGCCGGGGCCGCGAGGAGGAGGAGGACGUGCAGGACGACGAGGACGAGGAGGAAGAGGAGGAGGAGGACGAGGACGAGGACGAGGAGGAGGACGAGCAACAGGCGCUCGGGAGGCGCAGAGAGGCGUACCGCCGCAAAUACCGCGCCCUGCUGCGCCGCUGCAAGGAGUUUGAGUUGGUAAAGGUGAACGAGAUGCUACUGAACCGCUUGGAGUGCGUUGCAAAAAUAACUCAGAGACUGAAGCAAGAACGAAGGUUCUUAAUGAAAUGCCUGGACUCCCACGGGGACUGUUACAGGACGGCCCAGCUCACCAUCCUGCUCGAGGACGAGGGCAGCCAAGGGGAUGAUGUUCAGCUGGGUGAGCCUGCGCAGACCGGCCUGCCCGAUGGCCAGGACAUCCAGGUGACAAACACUGGGCCUCAGGACCUCGGCAGCCCCCUGCCCAGUGCCAAGAGGAGGAAGCUGAAGGAUGAGAGGGAGUCACAGUCUCAGAGGCAACCCAGCCCCUUCUAUAUCCUCGGGCAUGACCAGAUUAAACAGGAAUGUGGCGACGAUGAGCUGUCACCUCAAGAAGUGGGAGAGCCGGUCGCGCAGGCCUGGCGCUCGGGGAGCCCGGACAGGAAGACGGCCUACAGCGAGUAUCCGAGCCCCAGUUCCUACCCGGAAUUCGACUGAGUCCCCUCCGGGAGACAACGCUGAGGAUGGGAGGGCUGCGAGCGUCAGUGUCCCGAACCCGCCCACGCACCCCUCGUGGAAUCUCUCUCUCCCCCCUCCCCGUCUCUCUCUCUCUCUCUUUCUCUCUGGCGGAGGUGACGGAGAUAGGGAGGGAGGGGAUUUGAACAGGAGGGUGAGGGCUGUAGGGGCUGGAGGAGGUGACGGAGAUAGGGAGGGAGGGG